rnacentral:rRNA from 1 species
AUUGAACGCUGGCGGCAUGCCUUACACAUGCAAGUCGAACGGCAGCGCGGACUUCGGUCUGGCGGCGAGUGGCGAACGGGUGAGUAAUACAUCGGAACGUACCCCGUUGUGGGGGAUAACUAGUCGAAAGAUUAGCUAAUACCGCAUACGACCUGAGGGUGAAAGUGGGGGACCGGAAACGGCCUCAUGCAGCAGGAGCGGCCGAUGUCUGAUUAGCUAGUUGGUGGGGUAAAGGCCCACCAAGGCGACGAUCAGUAGCUGGUCUGAGAGGACGAUCAGCCACACUGGGACUGAGACACGGCCCAGACUCCUACGGGAGGCAGCAGUGGGGAAUUUUGGACAAUGGGGGCAACCCUGAUCCAGCAAUGCCGCGUGUGUGAAGAAGGCCUUCGGGUUGUAAAGCACUUUUGUCCGGAAAGAAAUCGCGCUGGUUAAUACCUGGCGUGGAUGACGGUACCGGAAGAAUAAGCACCGGCUAACUACGUG